CUAAAAUAUAUCAAGAACAGCGUGGCUCCAGUCAAAAUCUCAGCCGGUUCGGUGUGGCCGUAGUGUCGCCAUAUUGAAUUUCGCCAUUUUGGAAUACACAAAAUCGAGGCUUGGCAAAAUUCCAAGUCAAAGAAAGAGAUAUUACCGCAACCAAAUAUGGCUGCCACUUUCUAAUUAGAUAUGAGAUGGCAAGGAACAGAUGGAGAUGGAAAAACGUGUUCUGGAACUUUCUACCGAACAGUUAUACACAAAAUUUAGCAGAAAAAGUUUGGUAAAUUCCAUUUUUGAACACUGAAAACAAGAUUGAUCGUUUUGAAAAUGCACUUUUGCUAGCUCAUGCAGUUCUAGAUGGCUUAGUUGUCUUAUCCACGAUCAAGGAAAACUGCCACGUGCAAUGAAGAACCACAUUACUGGAGAAAAAAUUCAUUUUCAGAAUAAUUUUCAUUUGAAUUUCACUGUCACAUUUUGUUGAUUUUUGAAUAAAACUUUGAAGAACCUGAUAAAUAUU